GACAAUCCAAUGCUAUUUUCAAGUGGCGGUGAAUAACAGAGACCAGGGACACAGGAUUUUUAUACUAGAUCACUACACAGUGAGUGUUAUACUUCAUGGAGAAUGAGAUGAAGUACUGAGAAACAGUCUCUCAAAGGUGGACUUUGAUGACUACGAAGGAAUGAUAAGUUUCCAGAAUGUCAACGGGAAUCAUUGGAUACUUUUGUAUCUCCAUGCAGCAUCCAGCCAGGUGUUUAUGGUAGACCCAGCAGGACAUGAUGAAGAAGCAAAAUCCAUGUAUGCAGCCACUAUAUUUCAGUAAUAUUUUUAGCUUGUUAUAUACUGUACUUACAAAGAUGGUAAGCUUAGCCCCUAGUGUGAAGAGGCCCACUUCUUUUUGAUGUGUUUUCUUGUCACGGGGUAUUGAAGGGUGAAUGAUAUGCUGUGUCCUUUUCUAUCACCGGAUCUUUAGUAAAUUAAACAAAAUUUUGAUUUUGGACCAAACUGUCAGGGCUCUCUAGUAUCAUCUUGAAAAUGUAAAAAUUUAGAAAUAUAUUUUGA